UACGAAGGGGGCUAGCGUUGUUCGGAAUUACUGGGCGUAAAGCGCGCGCAGGCGGCUAUCCAAGUCAGUGGUGAAAGCCCCGGAGCUCAACUCCGGAACUGCCAUUGAAACUGUUUAGCUUGAGGACGAGAGAGGUGAGUGGAAUUCCCAGUGUAGAGGUGAAAUUCGUAGAUAUUGGGAAGAACACCGGUGGCGAAGGCGGCUCACUGGCUCGUAUCUGACGCUCAGGCGCGAUAGCGUGGGGAUCAAACAGG
rnacentral:rRNA from 1 species